UGCGGCCGUACCCGGCGGUGUCGGUGAAUCCGACGAUCGGGACCAUCACGCUCAACGGUGCUGUUGGCUGCGGAUCGACGACGAGGUGGGCGGCACCACGAUCGUCAGCGUCGUCGUCGAGGACGGGCGGAUCACGCGGAUCUUCGCCAUGCGCAACCCGCACAAGCUCACCCGGCUGGACGAGGAGGCCCAGCUCACCCGUUGAGCUGGGGUGGGGCCGCGCGCACCGGUAGACCCGGUCGUCUCGGCCGGAAAUGCCUUUCUCCGAAGCCCGAGCACGCCUAGGUUCGGCCCAUGACCUUGGAAUGGGAGCAGGUACUUGUUCACUCGAAAGAUCCCAUGAGCUUGGGGCAAUGGUGGGCUGAGGCCCUUGGUUGGGUGGUGGUCUACUCCUCGGCUGACGAGUUCGAGAUCCGCCCGGAGCCGGAUCGCAUGCCGGGAUUGGACUUCGUACGGCUUGAUGAGGCAAAAACGGCGAAGAGCCGACUGCAUCUCGACUUCAGGCCGGAUGACCAGGACGCCGAGGUGGCUCGUCUGGUGGCUCACGGCGCACAGCGUGUUGACAUCGGCCAGGUGAUCAGCAGCCGUGGGUUGUUCUGGUCGAUCCGAAGGCAACGAGUUCUGCGUCCUUGGCCAGCGAGGUCAGUAGAUCUGACCGCCCCGUGGGGACGCGCGCUCCCAGACCUCAGCGACCCGACAGCGCGAAGACGCCGUAUCCGAAUCCGUCCGCGUGCACGGUGCCCUCGGUGAUCGCGACACCGUCGGCGAGCAGGGACGUGGUGUCGGUCAGGUGGCCCCAGUCAAAGGUGGCGGGCGCGUGGCGUGGGUUGACCACCACGAGGUGGGUCUCGUCGCGGAGGUAGGCGAGGGGGUAUCCGUCGUGCAGCACCUGGGUGCUCGCGCGCGACCCGAGCGCUGGUGUCGCCUUGCGCAGGGCGAUGAGUCGUCUGACGAGGUUGAGGGUGGAGUGCGGGUCAUGCUCCUGCGCUGCGACGGUGGGGCGCGCCGGGUCGGGAUCUAUCGGGAGGUAGAGCCGUGACUGGUCGGCCGUGGAGAACCCCGCGUUGGGGGUGUCGUCCCACUGCAUGGGAGUGCGGCACCCAGCCCGGUUGUACGAGGGUUGCAGAUCGCUCCCUCCACGUCGGGAGUGCCGGGCAGAUAGCGCAUCCCGAUCUCGUCGCCGUAGUAGACGCAGGGCACCGACCCCAGGUGAGCAAGAACGUGAGGGCCGGCCCGAGCUGCUCGACGGUCCGCGGCCCACAGCACAGUCGGCUGAAGUCGUGGUCGGCGGUGGACAGGAUGAUCGGUCGCACGGGGUCCGCCUGUCUCG
rnacentral:misc_RNA from 1 species